rnacentral:lncRNA from 1 species
AAAAUCAACUAACACAAAAAAAUAGUACCAUUUUGUUGGGUCAACCCAGUUGGUCAAACAGUUGUGUUUCAUAUUUCCCUUAAAAUGGUGUGAGAUAGAGUGUGUAUAUUUCAGUAUGAGUUGUUAUAAGACAAUGAUUGGAAGAAAUUGACUUUGUUGAAUAUGCUGGAUUCUGACACAUUAGAAACUUGUAACCAGAUUCUUCAUUUUUUAACAAGAUAAAGAUUUAAAAAAAAAAUAUUUAAAACAGUCAGCAAGUGGUUAGUAUAGUGGUUAAUUUUAACUCCACACAUUCUAUGUCGUCUCAAAACUGAUAAAGCAACUAGUUCUAAACUGGAUAAGAAGCCUUAAAAAUAUUGGUGUAGUGGGAAGAGCGCUCGCUUUGUAAGCGAGAGGUUUGGAGCUCAACUCCUACCACGUCCCUGGAAGUACCGCGAUCAACUUAGUUUCUCCGCACAGAGGCUCAAGGCUCGUGUUUCGGAGUUAAAGAGUCGAGAAAGAUGCAGUUAUAUAUGACAAAGGUGGUUUGGAAGCGCGCAAUAUUGAAGGACUAGUUAGCGAUCUGAUGAAACGUGCAACCUCGAAAUCGCCCAAAAAAUUGCAACUAUUUAACAUGAGUAUCGUACUAUAAGAAAAAUU